GGCUCGUUAGCUCAGGUGGUUAGAGCACCGCACUAAAACUGCGGAGGUCGUAGGUUCGAAUCCUACAUGAGCCC